rnacentral:rRNA from 1 species
UACAGAGGUCUCAAGCGUUGUUCGGAUUCAUUGGGCGUAAAGGGUGCGUAGGCGGCGCGGUAAGUCGGGUGUGAAAUCUCGGGGCUUAACUCCGAAACUGCAUUCGAUACUGCCGUGCUUGAGGACUGGAGAGGAGACUGGAAUUUACGGUGUAGCGGUGAAAUGCGUAGAUAUCGGGAGGAACGCCAGUGGCGAAGGCGGCUUCCUGGCCUGUCCCUGACGCUGAGACGCGAAAGCUGGGGGAGCGAACGGG